rnacentral:rRNA from 1 species
GACGAACGCUGGCGGCGUGCUUCACACAUGCAAGUCGAACGGGGUCCAACUAGUGGCAACACUAGGGAAGAUCUAGUGGCGAACGGGUGCGUAACACGUGAGGAACCUACCCCGGACUCUGGAAUAACAGCGGGAAACCGCUGCUAAUACCGGAUAUCGUCGCAUGGUCGCAUGGCCGAGUGACGAAAGGUUUACCGGUUCGGGACGGUCUCGCGGCCUAUCAGCUUGUUGGCGGGGUAAUGGCCCACCAAGGCAUCGACGGGUAGCUGGUCUGAGAGGGAUGAUCAGCCACACUGGGACUGAGACACGGCCCAGACUCCUACGGGAGGCAGCAGUGGGGAAUCUUGCGCAAUGGGCGAAAGCCUGACGCAGCAACGCCGCGUGGGGGGAUGAAGGCUCUCGGGUUGUAAACCCCUUUCAGCAGGAACGAAAUGACGGUACCUGCAGAAGAAGGCCCGGCCAACUACGUGCCAGCAGCCGCGGUAAU